GUGCCAGCAGCCGCGGUAAUACGUAGGGUGCGAGCGUUGUCCGGAUUUAUUGGGCGUAAAGCGAGCGCAGACGGUUAAAUAAGUCAGAUGUGAAAUCCCCGAGCUCAACUUGGGACGUGCAUUUGAAACUGUGUAACUAGAGUGUGUCAGAGGGAGGUAGAAUUCCACGUGUAGCGGUGAAAUGCGUAGAUAUAUGGAAGAACACCAGUGGCGAAGGCAGCCUCCUGGGAUAACACUGACGUUCAUGCUCGAAAGCGUGGGUAGCAAACAGGGAUUAGAUACCCUGGUAGUCCACGCCCUAAACGAUGACAAUUAGCUGUUGGGGUACUAGUUACCUUAGUAGCGAAGCUAACGCGUGAAAUUGUCCGCCUGGGGAGUACGGUCGCAAGAUUAAAACUCAAAGGAAUUGACGGGGACCCGCACAAGCGGUGGAUGAUGUGGAUUAA
rnacentral:rRNA from 1 species